rnacentral:rRNA from 1 species
GACGAACGCUGGCGGCGGGCUUAACACAUGCAAGUCGAACGGAAAGGCCCUGCUUUGGUGGGGUGCUCGAGGGGCGAACGGGUGAGUAACACGUGAGUAACCUGCCCUUGACUUUGGGAUAACUUCAGGAAACUGGGGCUAAUACCGGAUAGGAGCUCCUGCUGCAUGGUGGGGGUUGGAAAGUUUCGGCGGUUGGGGAUGGACUCGCGGCUUAUCAGCUUGUGGGUGGGGUAGUGGCUUACCAAGGCUUUGACGGGUAGCCGGCCUGAGAGGGUGACCGGCCACAUUGGGACUGAGAUACGGCCCAGACUCCUACGGGAGGCAGCAGUGGGGAAUAUUGCACAAUGGGCGGAAGCCUGAUGCAGCAACGCCGCGUGCGGGAUGACGGCCUUCGGGUUGUAAACCGCUUUCGCCUGUGACGAAGCGUGAGUGACGGUAAUGGGUAAAGAAGCACCGGCUAACUACGUG